rnacentral:tRNA from 1 species
GCCCUAGUGGCACAAUGGUUAAGUGAUCAGCUACUAACUAAUAGGUUGGUGGUUUGAAUCCGCCCAGCGGCU